AUGGUGAAAUCAAUCAACAAGUGGGGUGAAGUUGCACCAGCACUCGUAACAUCAAGUUAUUAUAAGAGACCUUCACGUUGUUUAAGGCUAGAAACUAUUAUUGAAGAGGAACCACAAGUGUCACAAGGGUUGGCAAAAACUGUUCUUGUUUCAUUGCCUCUGGGCAGUCUUCAAAUAAGUUUUGACAUGGUUUAUAGUUAUUGUGAACAAAAUCACAUUCAGUGGAGAUUCCAUUGUGGAUAA